CACGUCCAAGGAUGGCAGCAGGCGCGAAAAUUGUCCACUCUUUUGAGAGGAGACAGUUAUGAAACGUGAGUAGAAGGGUCGAGUGUAAAAACCUUGACGUGAAGCAAUUGGAGGGCAAGUUUUGGUGCCAGCAGCCGCGGUAAUUCCAACUCCAAGAGUGUCUAUGGUGGAUGCUGCAGUUAAAGGGUCCGUAGUCGUAGAUGCAAUUAAAAGGUGGUGUUAAAAGCCAUUGAGUUUGUUGAGAGUAGCGGAACGGAUAGGGAGCAUGGUAUAGGUGGGCAAAGAAUGAAAUCUCAAGACCCCACCUGGACCAACGGAGGCGAAAGCGAUGCUCUUAGACGUAUCUGGGGAUCAAGGACGAAGGCUAGAGUAUCGAAAGUGAUUAGACACCGCUGUAGUUCUAGCAGUAAACUAUGCCGACAAUGCUGGGUGUUGCGAGAGCGAUGCUUGGUGUGGGAGAAAUCUUAGUUUUCGGGCUCUGGGGAUAGUACGCUCGCAAGGGUGAAACUUAAAGCGAAAUUGACGGAAGGACACUACCAGGAGUGGAUUGUGCUGCUUAAUUUAACUCAACGCGGGAAAACUUACCAGGGUCAAGUCUAUCGUAGAUUGGAGACAUGAGGUAGACAAGAGUGGUGCAUGGCCGUUGGAAAUUGAUGGGGCGACUUUUAGCUUAAGUGCUGGAACCAGUGAGAUCUUCUAGACAGGUGUUAUUUAGGCACAGGAGGGAGAAGGCAAUAACAGGUCCGUGAUGCCCUUAGAUAUCCUGGGCAGCAAGCGCAAUACAAUAUCUCUUGAGAAGACAAAGCAAUUUGAGAUGAGUAGGAUUAGCUUUUGUAAAUAAGCUAUGAAUGAGGAA
rnacentral:rRNA from 1 species